UUAGAAAAUUUUUAUGCAAGCCAUUUUGCGAAAAAUAAGAAAGAUUUAUGAUGGUUUCUUUAAAAUUUUAUUUAUGUACUAGACGCAGUUGCCAAAUAAGUUAAUACAUAUUCGACAAAUUUAGAGCUUUGCUUUAGUCCAGCUGUGGGUGUGAGUUUCUAGUCUUAGAAUUUGGAACUACGAAUCUGAGCUUGGAUCGGUAAAAGUCUCUAAUAUUGGGAGCAAGGAUCAAAUUAAAAAGGUGUACUAACAGUGAAAAAUACAGAAGCAAAAUUUAUCGAUUUUUCACCCCGUCUUCCAGCGAAGAAGCACUGUGCAAUAUUUGACCUUUCAUCAAGUUCUUAGGGGCAAGGUCGAUGAUUAAUUCAACCGGCAUAAGAAUAAUUCGAAAUUGAAAAUCAUUUUUAAGAAACUUUAAGACACGUAACGCAAAUACAAAUAAACCGAUUUCUAGAAUUUUCCAUUCCAGGCAUGAUUAACUCUAAAGACUUACCUCGAUUACAACCCUUCCAAGUGGACUUCCAUCAGCAGUCAGAUCGAAGAAACAACGCGGCAGACCCAUGUUAACUUUUUUGGCGUAAUUGCACACUUGCUGCACUAAAUAACCUCCGGAAAACGACGGAACUGUCCGAUAUGCACUGCAAUGGCUGACGAUGCUCCUGCUAGCGAAGACUGCCGGUAAGCGAGUGAUGAAUCCGAGAGCCAUUUGAGGAAGCAGCCAAUCGCAAACUUUAGAAACGCAAACUCUGAAAAUGAACGCAUAUCGAUAGGAUGAACCAUGAUGAAUCUAUUGGGAUUGGGCCUGCUAAAAAGAAUAAAGCUUGCUCUUUACUCUUACACAGAUUUCCAUAAGAAUGACAGCUAAUCGGAGUGAAAUCGGAGUGAAGGCUAUUUCUCUCUCGGUUUAUCACACGAGAAAUCGUAUACCGGGACUGCGAGCGCGCCCAUCGCCCACACGGAAAAACUCAGCAACUCAUAAAAUGUAUUGUAAUUACACCUUGGUUGUAACUAACCCUCUGAUGCUCAAAAUAUGUAUAACCCCAAAUCAAAUUUGGGUUGCCAAAAUACAGAAAUGACUAAAUAAUUGACAUCGUUUACACAUUUCUGUAUAAAAAGUUGUUGUUGCUGGAAUGGUAUAGUCAAAAGGGAUGCCAGUCAAAGCCUGACAAGAACAAAUUGCUGGUCUGGUGGUCGACGGAGGGCAUCUAUUUCAGUGUACCUCCAUCCGGAUGUGGACCUCCAGGUGCUGCUCCAAUGGGAGCAGCCAGUGGAGCAGCUCCUGGUGCUAUUCCUACGAUACGAUGGUGGUUCCGUCGGUGGUCAGCGGAUGGACGGAGCAUAAGGCUCCGGACAAACGAACCUAGCAUGUCACCAAGCAAAGCUGGACGAACUUUCACCAGCAGAAAAAUUGCAGUCCCCGUGUCUCUGGACGAAGUACCGGUCCGAUCAAGGUGAUACCAACCUCAAACGGUUUAGAUUAUCAAGUAUGAAGGAGCAAGAGUGGACGCUGCCUGGAGAGAAAGUAAAAAAUAGAUCCGGCAAGCUUCCUUUUAUUUUUGUUCGGAAUUGGACUGUGGUCUCUUAUGCUCGGUACCAAACAAGCCACGGUAGAACAAAACGACACUAUCGAGUUCUUCUAAAGAUUCUUGACAGGUAUUACACUGUAUCAAAAAAUUGUCCGUACAGCACGUACUUCGAAAUCCAAACAAUCAAAAAGUGCACUUUUUUAGUCAAUAAAAAUACUACAAUUACAUCAUUCGCUGCAGAAACUAGUCCUUUUUGUAGAUCAGUAUUAAAAAUGUUUUUAAAUUAAA